GACAGAGGGGGCAAGCGUUGCUCGGAAUCACUGGGCGUAAAGGGCUCGUAGGCGGUUUGUCGCGUCGGGAGUGAAAACCUCGGGCUUAACUCGGGGCUUGCUUUCGAUACGGGCAGACUAGAGGUAUGCAGGGGAGAACGGAAUUCCUGGUGUAGCGGUGAAAUGCGCAGAUAUCAGGAGGAACACCGGUGGCGAAGGCGGUUCUCUGGGCAUGAUCUGACGCUGAGGAGCGAAAGUGUGGGGAGCGAACAGG
rnacentral:rRNA from 1 species